rnacentral:rRNA from 1 species
AGUGAACGCUGGCGGUAGGCCUAACACAUGCAAGUCGAACGGCAGCACAGUAAGAGCUUGCUCUUACGGGUGGCGAGUGGCGGACGGGUGAGGAAUACAGCGGAAUCUACUUUUUCGUGGGGGAUAACGUAGGGAAACUUACGCUAAUACCGCAUACGACCUACGGGUGAAAGCAUGGGAUCUUCGGACCUUGCGCGUUUGAAUGAGCCGAUGUCGGAUUAGCUAGUUGGCGGGGUAAAGGCCCACCAAGGCGACGAUCCGUAGCUGGUCUGAGAGGAUGAUCAGCCACACUGGAACUGAGGAACGGUCCAGACUACUACGGGAGGCAGCAGUGGGGAAUAUUGGACAAUGGGCGGAAGCCUGAUCCAGCCAUGCCGCGUGGGUGAAGAAGGACUUCGGGUUGUAAAGCCCUUUUGUUGGGAAAGAAAAGCAGCAGGUUAAUACCCCGCUGUCCUGACGGUACCCAAAGAAUAAGCACCGGCUAACUUCGUG